UACGGAGGAUGCAAGCGUUAUCCGGAUUUAUUGGGUUUAAAGGGUGCGUAGGCGGAUUAAUAAGUCAGUGGUGAAAACCUUCAGCUUAACUGGAGAACUGCCAUUGAUACUGUUAGUCUUGAGUACGGUCAAGGUAGGCGGAAUGUGUAAUGUAGCGGUGAAAUGCUUAGGUAUUACACAGAACACCGAUUGCGAAGGCAGCUUACUGGGCCAUUACUGACGCUGAUGCACGAAAGCGUGGGGAGCGAAUAGG
rnacentral:misc_RNA from 1 species